GACGAACGCUGGCGGCGUGCUUGACACAUGCAAGUCGAACGGAAAGGCCCUGCUUUUGUGGGGUGCUCGAGUGGCGAACGGGUGAGUAACACGUGAGUAACCUGCCCUUGACUUUGGGGUAACUUCAGGAAACUGGGGCUAAUACCGGAUAGGAGCUCCUGCUGCAUGGUGGGGGUUGGAAAGUUUCGGCGGUUGGGGAUGGACUCGCGGCUUAUCAGCUUGUUGGUGGGGUGGUGGCUUACCAAGGCUUUGACGGGUAGCCGGCCUGGGAGGGUGACCGGCCCCAUUGGGACUGAGAUACGGCCCAGACUCCUACGGGAGGCAGCAGUGGGAAAUAUUGCACAAUGGGCGGAAGCCUUAUGCAGCAACGCCGCGUGCGGGAUGACUGCCUUCGGGUUGUAAACCGCUUUCGCCUGUGACGAAGCGUGAGUGACGGUAAUGGGUAAAGAAGCACCGGCUAACUACGUG
rnacentral:rRNA from 1 species